UGGGGAAUAUUGCACAAUGGGCGAAACUCUGAUGCAGCGACGCCGCGUGAGGGAAGAAGGUCUUCGGAUUGUAAACCUCUGUCUUUGGGGACGAAGAAAGUGACGGUACCCAAAGAGGAAGCCACGGCUAACUACGUGCCAGCAGCCGCGGUAAUACGUAGGUGGCGAGCGUUGUCCGGAAUUACUGGGUGUAAAGGGUGCGUAGGCGGACUGGCAAGUUGGAUGUGAAAUCUCCGCGCUUAACGUGGAGGUUGCAUUCAAAACUGUUGGUCUUGAGUGAGGCAGAGGCAGGCGGAAUUCCCGGUGUAGCGGUGAAAUGCGUAGAGAUCGGGAGGAACACCAGUGGCGAAGGCGGCCUGCUGGGCCUUAACUGACGCUGAGGCACGAAAGCAUGGGUAGCAAACA
rnacentral:rRNA from 1 species